AGAAAAUUAAUUAAAUUAUAUAAUAUAAGAAUGUCAAACUUAAUUUGUCAAUAUGACAUUUUCUA
rnacentral:tRNA from 1 species